rnacentral:rRNA from 1 species
UACAGGGGGGGCAAGCGUUGUUCGGAAUUACUGGGCGUAAAGGGUUCGUAGGUGGCUACCUAAGUCAGACGUGAAAUCCCUCAGCUUAACUGGGGAACUGCGUCUGAUACUGGGUGGCUUGAGUGCAGGAGAGGAAUGCGGAAUUCCAGGUGUAGCGGUGAAAUGCGUAGAGAUCCGGAGGAACACCAGCGGCGAAGGCGGCAUCCUGGACUGGUCCUGACACUCAGGAGCGAAAGCGUGGGGAGCGAUCCGG